rnacentral:rRNA from 1 species
ACGGGUGAGUAAUGCUUAGGAAUCUGCCUAUUAGUGGGGGACAACAUUCCGAAAGGAAUGCUAAUACCGCAUACGUCCUACGGGAGAAAGCAGGGGACCUUCGGGCCUUGCGCUAAUAGAUGAGCCUAAGUCGGAUUAGCUAGUUGGUGGGGUAAAGGCCUACCAAGGCGACGAUCUGUAACGGGUCUGAGAGGAUGAUCCGCCACACUGGGACUGAGACACGGCCCAGACUCCUACGGGAGGCAGCAGUGGGGAAUAUUGGACAAUGGGGGGAACCCUGAUCCAGCCAUGCCGCGUGUGUGAAGAAGGCCUUAUGGUUGUAAAGCACUUUAAGCGAGGAGGAGGCUACUAGUAUUAAUACUACUGGAUAGUGGACGUUACUCGCAGAAUAAGCACCGGCUAACUCUGUGCCAGCAGCCGCGGUAAUACAGAGGGUGCGAGCGUUAAUCGGAUUUACUGGGCGUAAAGCGUGCGUAGGCGGCCAUUUAAGUCAAAUGUGAAAUCCCCGAGCUUAACUUGGGAAUUGCAUUCGAUACUGGAUGGCUAGAGUAUGGGAGAGGAUGGUAGAAUUCCAGGUGUAGCGGUGAAAUGCGUAGAGAUCUGGAGGAAUACCGAUGGCGAAGGCAGCCAUCUGGCCUAAUACUGACGCUGAGGUACGAAAGCAUGGGGAGCAAACAGGAUUAGAUACCCUGGUAGUCCA